rnacentral:rRNA from 1 species
UUGCAAAAUUAGCGGAUGAGCUGUGGAUAGGGGUGAAAGGCUAAACAAAUCUGGAGAUAGCUGGUUCUCCCCGAAAACUAUUGAGGUAGUGCCUCGCGUAUCACUCCAGGGGGUAGAGCACUGUUAUGGCUAGGGGGACAUGGCGUCUUACCAAACCAUGGCAAACUCCGAAUACUUGGAAGUGUGAGCGCGGGAGACAGAGCACCGGGUGCUAACGUCCGGACUCAAAAGGGAAACAACCCAGACCGCCGGCUAAGGUCCCUAAUAUUUGCUAAGUGGAAAACGAAGUGGAAAGGCUAAGACAGUCAGGAAGUUGGCUUAGAAGCAGCCAUCCUUUAAAGAAAGCGUAAUAGCUCACUGAUCGAGUCUUUCUGCGCGGAAGAUGUAACGGGGCUAAGCAAGUAACCGAAGCCGCGGAUUCAUACGUAAGUAUGAGUGGUAGGGGAGCGUUCUGUAAGCCUGCGAAGGUGUGUUGAGAAGCAUGCUGGAGGUAUCAGAAGUGCGAAUGCUGACAUGAGUAACGUUAAAGCGGGUGAAAAGCCCGCUCGCCGUAAGCCCAAGGUUUCCUGCUCUACGUUCAUCGGAGCAGGGUGAGUCGGCCCCUAAGGCCAGGCUGAGAAGCGUAGUCGAUGGGAACAAGGUUAAUAUUCCUAGACCAUUGUCAAGUAUGCGAUGGGGGGACGGAGUGCGAAAGAUGAUCCGGGUGUUGGACAUCCCGGUUUGUGAGAGUAGAAGGAGAGUAGGCAAAUCCGCUCUCGAAUCUUCGAGUCAAAACAUCGAUUCUCCACGUGAGAAGAAGUCAUCGGAAGUGCUUCCAAGAAAAGCCUCUAAGUGGUAGCUUGACAAGACCGUACCGCAAACCGACACUGGUGGGCGAGUUGAAUAUACUAAGGCGCUUGAGAGAACUCGGGAGAAGGAACUCGGCAAAUUGACACCGUAACUUCGGAAGAAGGUGUGCCUUUGUAGCGUGAGAGAAGAAACAUCUUAAGCGUGAAGAGGCCUCAGAGAAUAGGUGGCUGCAACUGUUUACUAAAAACAUAGCACUCUGCAAAGAUGAAAGUCGACGUAUAGGGUGUGAUGCCUGCCCGGUGCUGGAAGAUUAAUUGAUGGGGUGCAAGCUCCUGAUCGAAGUCCCAGUAAACGGCGGCCGUAACUAUAACGGUCCUAAGGUAGCGAAAUUCCUUGUC